AUCUGAUGGUGUGGGCAUUGAUGUAGCAGGUCCCUAAAGCGCUCCUAAGUCUCGAAAAAUAGUUCCCCACCCAUCUGUGAGAAACUAGUGAUGGCUCUCCUCAGCU